rnacentral:lncRNA from 1 species
CCCCCCGCCCCAGCCAUAAUAGCUUGAAUCAGAGCUGACCGCUGCAUGGCUCUUCCUGCAGCUGCACAUAAACUCAUUGUAUUUUUUUGCUAUUAUAAGCUGACCCUGGAAAACAUUCAGGGUCUUAGCUCCAGAGUCUAAAGCUGCAUCCAUCACUGAUUGAUCAGUCGUGGAGUGUGUGUUCAAUAAACUGUGUGUAAGGGUACAUGAUUCUCUAGACUCAAAUUGUAUGCAACAGCAAAGAGCGUUUAUUCUGCAGAGAUCCUGCAUGCAAGGGUCUACCAUACAUCAGGAUGGAAGACAGGGGUGUGGGCUUUGCAGGGUCAAUUUAAAGUCUGUUAAGGUAGGAGUAGGUGACUUUUAGCUUUCUUCCCCUUGAUUGGUCCACUCUAUCUCCAGGGUUAAUGGGUGGCUUUGUGGUUGAUUGGUUAAUGCUCUGGAGGAUUUGGGGGACUUUGGCUGAUUAACUAUACUUGGCUCAGGCUAGGUGGUAGGGCAGCUUUCUGAUUGGUGCCCGUGAGGGGUGGUUUUUCCUGGAAUUGACUUGUUUUGGAUUUUUCCAGUUCUGGGAAACAGAAACUUAGGCCUAGUUUCCAAAACUGCCUGUUUGCAGCCUGUCAUGGAGUCAGCCUGGCUCUGGCUAACUCUCAUAUGCUUGCUUAACUGAGAUUGGAGUCUGAGUGGUUUGUGUGGCAAUUCCUGGACAUCAACACAAAAGACACUUCAGGUAGUCUUUUUCUCCUGCAGACUCCUGGCUACCUCUGCUCUUGCCUGCAGUCCCUCAGCUUCACCUAUCAGCACCCUCUUGGGGGUUAUAGGAAGACACCUGCAUGAUGUUCCACUUUGUCUCUCUCCCUCCUCUGACUCAGAUUUA